rnacentral:rRNA from 1 species
GUUGAACGCUGGCGGCAGACUUAACACAUGCAAGUCGAGCGGGGUGAUGGUGCUUGCACUAUCACUUAGCGGCGGACGGGUGAGUAAUGCUUGGGAAUCUGCCUAUUAGUGGGGGACAACAUCUCGAAAGGGAUGCUAAUACCGCAUACGUCCUACGGGAGAAAGCAGGGGAUCACUUGUGACCUUGCGCUAAUAGAUGAGCCUAAGUCGGAUUAGCUAGUUGGUGGGGUAAAGGCCUACCAAGGCGACGAUCUGUAGCGGGUCUGAGAGGAUGAUCCGCCACACUGGGACUGAGACACGGCCCAGACUCCUACGGGAGGCAGCAGUGGGGAAUAUUGGACAAUGGGGGGAACCCUGAUCCAGCCAUGCCGCGUGUGUGAAGAAGGCCUUAUGGUUGUAAAGCACUUUAAGCGAGGAGGAGGCUCUUUUGGUUAAUACCCAAGAUGAGUGGACGUUACUCGCAGAAUAAGCACCGGCUAACUCUGUGCCAGCAGCCGCGGUAA